CCACUUCGUCCUGGGUCUGCGUGACAUCAAAGGUGUGCAGGAACCGAACGUCAGGUGGACCUGCCUCCCGUGAGCUGUCCUCUGGGCCUCAGCCCCGUGGAAUCCUGUCCGGGUCAACCCGGUUGGGCCGCCGCCCUCUGAGCUCCCAGAGCCGGGCUCCUGGGCCUGCAAGCGGGCGGGAGCCAGAGUAGUGUCUUCCCUUUUCCUUUAACGUCUACACCGGUCUGUUCUUGUUUCCGGGUUCUUUUAAUUUUCCCAGUUCGUUGCUCUUCCCUUUGGCACAACAGGGCAUUUGUAUAAUAAGGUGUAUUAUAAUUUCUCGUAACUUCCUUAUUUCUCUUCAAGACCUGCGUACUUGUGGCGGGUGCUUUCUGUCCCCCAGGAACUCCGGGGGCCCCCGCCCGGCCGUGGGUGCAGCCUCACUUCCCUUGGGGUCUGGCUCCUCCUGCUUGACCACCAGCACCGCCGCCUCCCAGGCUUCAGGAGUAAUCAAGCUAAGCCUUGGGAGGUGUCCUGGGCGGGGGCUCCUCCCCGGAGGAGCGCGGCCUUGGAGAGCGACGACCAGGCCGACGCGUCCCCGCCCAAGGGGUUGUAGAAAGAGUGUUCGCGGCUCGGCAAAGAUCAAAAGCCCCGCGGGACAAAGCGUGUUCCGAGCAGCCCGGGCCGUGGAGAGCGAAACCGCCCGCGCCAGCCCCGGCUCCUUCACAAGGGCUGUUGGACUCCGCGGUGGGGCCUCGACCCGGAGCCGGGCGCCUCGCGGCUCCCCACACGCCGCAGCUGCAGGCUUCGGCCGGCUCCGCGCGGGCCAAGGCGCUUCCUCCGAGCCUCCCGCGUCGCCAGAAGAUAAACGGCGUCUGCAGCUGCACCCGCGCCGGGGGGCAGAGUCCUGAAGGGCCCCCCCCCCACAGGGCUCCUCGGCCACGACCACCGCGCUUCACCUCCUCCCCGGGACAGGCCCUCACCUCAGGACGGCGCCUCAGGGGACUGGCUCCUCACCUCAGGACGGCGCCUCGGAGGACAGGCUCGGCACACAGGGACGGCGCCUCAGAGGCCGGGCUCCUCACACAGGUACGACGACGACUCGGAGGCCGGGCUCCUCACCUCAGGAGGGCGCCUCAGGGGACAGGCUCCUCACACGGGAUGGGGACGGCGCCUCAGGGAACAGCCUCCUCACACAGGUACGGCCCCUCGGAGGACAGGCUCGUCACCCGGGAUGGCGAAUGGCGCCUCAGGGGACAGGCUCCUCUCCGGGGAUGGCGCCUCGAAGGCCGGGCCGCAGUGUCUCCUCACAACCCCGGUGACCCCGACCAGGACGCCGGCAGCCGAGAGGCUCCCUCGAGGCUCCCUCAGGGUCCCGACGGUCGAGAGUCCACGCACAAGGCCCCGCGCUGCUCCGGGCCGUGGGGACCCCAGCGGCCCCCGGGUCAAGGCUGCCCGGGCCUGGGCCGCGGGGGCCUGAAGCCGAUGCCCGGGCCCCCCCGCCCCCCGCCCCGGGACUAG
rnacentral:lncRNA from 12 species